UUCAGCUCUUUGCCAUAAGCUGCUAUCAACAGAGUGAUCCCUAGAGUGAUUAGGAAUUCCAAAACUGUCUACAGGCUCUGACUUCCGGGAUCUUCUGACCCAGGGGUCGAACCUGCACUUCCUGCAUUGGAAGCAUGGAGUCUUAACCACUGGACAGCCAGAGAAGUCUGGAGACUGCCUUAAUAAGAUGGAAAAGGCAAGAAAACAGAAGCAUUCAGAAAUUAUGAGACCUGCCCAUGGUCACACAGUUGUGAUCUGAAUCCAGCAACAUUACUCUCUUCAAAACUGGGAAUAUCAACAGCUUUUAACGAAGAUGCACUACCCGGAGUACUUGUGACUUCAUUAUUA